rnacentral:tRNA from 1 species
GCGGAUGUAGCCCAGUGGAUCAAGGCAGUGGAU